rnacentral:rRNA from 1 species
AGAGUUUGAUCAUGGCUCAGAAUCAACGCUGGCGGCGCGCCUAACACAUGCAAGUCGAACGAGAAAGUGGAGCAAUCCAUGAGUAAAGUGGCGUACGGGUGAGUAACACGUGGGUAAUCUACCUCCUAGUGUGGAAUAACCCUGGGAAACCGGGGCUAAUACCGCAUAAGCUCGAGAGAGGAAAGCAGCAAUGCGCUGGGAGAGGAGCCCGCGGCCGAUUAGCUUGUUGGCAGGGUAAAAGCCUACCAAGGCAGAGAUCGGUAGCCGGCCUGAGAGGGCACACGGCCACACUGGCACUGAAACACGGGCCAGACUCCUACGGGAGGCAGCAGUGGGGAAUCUUGCACAAUGGGGGAAACCCUGAUGCAGCGACGCCGCGUGAGCGAUGAAGCCCUUCGGGGUGUAAAGCUCUUUCGGCAGGGAAGAUGAUGACGGUACCUGCAGAAGCAGCUGCGGCUAACUACGUGCCAGCAGCCGCGGUAAUACGUAGGCAGCAAGCGUUGUUCGGAGUUACUGGGCGUAAAGGGUGUGUAGGCGGUCCUCUAAGUUUGGUGUGAAAUCUCCCGGCUCAACUGGGAGGGUGCGCCGAAUACUGAAGGACUAGAGUGCGGGAGAGGAGAGUGGAAUUCCUGGUGUAGCGGUGAAAUGCGUAGAUAUCAGGAGGAACACCGGUGGUGUAGACGGCUCUCUGGACCGUAACUGACGCUGAGACACGAAAGCGUGGGUAGCAAACAGGAUUAGAUACCCUAGUAGUCC